UGCAUAUCAAAGGUUGAUGGCCUGACUGU
rnacentral:piRNA from 1 species